CUCUGACCUUUUGAAUGCCCUCAAUUGGAUGCCCAAACGACCUUGGCUAAUCCUUUCCCAGCGUGGCAGGUAAGGACACACAACUGGAGGCCUUGGUACUUGCCUUUCCCACAGUGGCAGGUUGGCUUGCUUGGUCUGAUAUCAUCCCUUAUUGGGUUCAGGAAAAUGAUGUCAUCUCCGUGAUUUUUUAGAAUAAGAAGAUAUUGGUAUCAUCAGUGUCAUACAUCCCUUUUUCAAGUUUUAUGUAUCUUGUUCAAUACAAUAUCUUAUUUUUUAGUAUGAUAAAGACUUUAUUAUGUAUUCUUCUAUUGCUCUUUAUGUAAAACUUGAUGUAGUCACAGCUAUUUUCUAAUUUGAAUGUAUUUGUAAAGUUUAUUAGGGAUAGACACACCUUUACUUUCUGAUCAAAGAUAUGUGAAACAAGAUACUUUUAUAUAGGGUCAGAUUAUCCUGAACAAGUCACUAAAAUAUGAGUUCAUCUUUUACAUAUUGUGAUAUGCCAAUGGUGAUAUAUGUGAUAUAUUUUAACAUAUUUUUAUUAAGUAGCAUACAUGUGGAAUAGAGUUAUUUAGGUAUAAUCCCUUGUCUGAGUCUGAUAUAUAAUUUUAAAAUUAUUUUAUUAACACAUUUAUUGAUUUUAUCUAGGUGCAGCUGUCAGAAAAAUAAUGAAACACAUAGUGAUUAACAAAUGCUCAAGUUUAUGAACUUAAAUAUAUGCUUCUACCACCUGUAAAACUUGCACACAUAUAUAUACUCUUGUCCCCUCCCCACACACAUACUAUUAGCAGUUAUAUGCACACUAUUAUACGCUAGUCUUAAUAGGAAGGAGAAUAGGCAGCUUGUUUCUAGGGAUGAUAUUUCUUGUAUGUUUGAGUAUAUUCUAUAUUUGUAAGUGAUUUUCUAUAUGAUAGAUGAAGACUUUAGUUCCUAAUAUGGUUGUAAAUGGUCAAACACUAUGAGAAAUGGCAGUGCUAUAUAACUUAUUUUUCCAAUAAAUCAAAAUAAAAAUCAAACAA